UUAUUUGGUCUCAACAACAUUGCCUUUAAUUGAGGGCAUUUUUUUUGUGAUUCUCUUUUACUAUGCAUUCCCAAUGUCCUUCGUCACUCUAUAAAACCCUAACCAUGGACACCAGAUCAGAGAGGGUAAAACCCUAACGCCGCUCCAGAUGAACGAGGAAUACGUUCUUGAAAUUUUUUGAAAUCUUUCAUGGCUUCAACGAUUCCCCUUCUUCCUUAACCGAUCUAAGAUUUUCUUUCUUUCUUCUAUCAAAAUUUUCGCUUUCGUGAGGCGUUGCGUUGGUUGAUUGCCGAUGGACGUGUCAACGAAAGCGUAAAUUUAAUCUCAACGCCGUCUCAAUCCUCUCUUUCUACAUCUGUGAUUUGUUAAUGGGUUUUGGUGACAAUGAAUUUGGGGGUUGCUUCUUACUGGUGAACUCACUCUGUUUUUUAACAAACAAAAGUGAGAGACGUUCGUGUUUCCGAAGCAUAGAUCGAUUUGCUUUUGCCAGAAUUAAACAGCUCGCUGCAUUACACGAUUGUGUUUUGUUGCAUCGUGUUACCUGUCUUCUGGUACAUUUCUCUUCUUCGUUUUGAUU